rnacentral:rRNA from 1 species
AUGUUAAUUUGUGCGGCAGUAGCACAAUGGUUUAUCAAUAUGAUAGCUUUGGUUGUCCAAUCUAGAAAAAGAAAAAGGAGAGAAGCAAUUACAUAUGCCCCAAUUGAUGAGAGAGAUAGGAUGAGAAGAGAGUACUUUGAUAACAAAGUAUGGAAGAAUGACACAACUUUUGUGAACAUGCUUAGGCUUCGGAGAGCACCUUUCUUUCGGUUUUGUCAACUCUUUAGAGAUCGCCAUUUGCUAAAGGACACAAUCCAUAUGUCCAUUGAGCAGCAAGUAGCAAUGUUUUUGCACACCGUUGGUCACAACGUUUGA